UACGGAGGGGGCGAGCGUUAUUCGGAAUUAUUGGGCGUAAAGGGCGCGUAGGCGGGUGUACAAGUCAAAGGUGAAAUCCCUCGGCUCAACUGAGGAACUGCCUUUGAAACUGUACGGCUUGAGGCCGGGAGGGGGUAGCGGAAUUCCCAGUGUAGCGGUGAAAUGCGUAGAUACUGGGAGGAACACCAGUGGCGAAGGCGGCUACCUGGACCGGUUCUGACGCUGAGGCGCGAAAGCGUGGGUAGCAAACAGG
rnacentral:rRNA from 1 species